UACGGAGGGUGCGAGCGUUGUUCGGAAUCACUGGGCGUAAAGGGCGUGUAGGCGGUCCGCUAAGUCUGAUGUGAAAGCCCGGGGCUCACCCCCGGAAGGGCAUUGGAAACUGGCGGACUCGAGUCCCGGAGAGGAAGGUGGAAUUCCUGGUGUAGCGGUGAAAUGCGUAGAUAUCAGGAGGAAUACCGGUGGCGAAGGCGGCCUUCUGGACGGUGACUGACGCUGAGGAGCGAAAGCUAGGGGAGCAAACGGG
rnacentral:rRNA from 1 species